GCGGACGUGGCGAAACUGGUAGACGCAAGGGACUUAAAAUCCCUCGGCCGCAAGGCUGUACGGGUUCGAUUCCCGUCGUCCGCACCA
rnacentral:tRNA from 4 species